rnacentral:rRNA from 1 species
UACGGGAGUGGCAAGCGUUAUCCGGAAUUAUUGGGCGUAAAGCGUCCGCAGGUGGUCUUUUAAGUCUGCUGUUAAAGCGUGGAGCUUAACUCCAUUUCGGCAGUGGAAACUGGAAGACUAGAGUGUGGUAGGGGCAGAGGGAAUUCCCGGUGUAGCGGUGAAAUGCGUAGAUAUCGGGAAGAACACCAGUGGCGAAGGCGCUCUGCUGGGCCAUAACUGACGCUCAUGGACGAAAGCCAGGGGAGCGAAAGGGAUUAGAUACCCCUGUAGUCCUGGCCGUAAACGAUGAACACUAGGUGUCGGGGGAAUCGACCCCCUCGGUGUCGUAGCCAACGCGUUAAGUGUUCCGCCUGGGGAGUACGCACGCAAGUGUGAAACUCAAAGGAAUUGACGGGGGCCCGCACAAGCGGUGGAGUAUGUGGUUUAAUUCGAUGCAACGCGAAGAACCUUACCAGGGUUUGACAUCCUGCGAAUCCCUUGGAAACGAGGGAGUGCCUUCGGGAACGCAGUGACAGGUGGUGCAUGGCUGUCGUCAGCUCGUGUCGUGAGAUGUUGGGUUAAGUCCCGCAACGAGCGCAACCCACGUCGUUAGUUGCCAGCAUUCAGUUGGGCACUCUAGCGAGACCGCCGGUGAUAAACCGGAGGAAGGUGUGGAUGACGUCAAGUCAUCAUGCCCCUUACAUCCUGGGCUACACACGUACUACAAUGCUACGGACAAAGGGCAGCAAACUCGCGAGAGCUAGCAAAUCCCAUAAACCGUGGCUCAGUUCAGAUCGUAGGCUGCAACUCGCCUACGUGAAGGAGGAAUCGCUAGUAAUCGCAGGUCAGCAUACUGCGGUGAAUACGUUCCCGGGCCU